UUUGGAGCAAGCCCAUGCUGAAUCCAAGAUGAUCUUCUUUUCUUCUCUCCCCAGAGUGCGGCCAGCUGCGUAGGACAAUUGAGACUGAGAAGGAUAAGAACACGCGACUGGAAUCAGACCUCAAGGUGCAGCAUCAGAAGAUGG